rnacentral:rRNA from 1 species
CCUACGGGAGGCAGCAGUGGGGAAUCUUGCGCAAUGGGCGAAAGCCUGACGCAGCCAUGCCGCGUGAAUGAUGAAGGUCUUAGGAUUGUAAAAUUCUUUCAGUAGGGACGAUAAUGACGGUACCUACAGAAGAAGCCCCGGCUAACUUCGUGCCAGCAGCCGCGGUAAUACGAAGGGGGCUAGCGUUGCUCGGAAUUACUGGGCGUAAAGGGAGCGUAGGCGGACAUUUAAGUCAGGGGUGAAAUCCCAGAGCUCAACUCUGGAACUGCCUUUGAUACUGGGUGUCUUGAGUGUGAGAGAGGUAUGUGGAACUCCGAGUGUAGAGGUGAAAUUCGUAGAUAUUCGGAAGAACACCAGUGGCGAAGGCGACAUACUGGCUCAUUACUGACGCUGAGGCUCGAAAGCGUGGGGAGCAAACAGGAUUAGAUACCCUGGUAGUCCACGCCGUAAACGAUGAUUGCUAGUUGUCGGGAUGUUUACAUCUCGGUGACGCAGCUACGACAUAAGACACUCCGCCGUCGGGUAGGUACGGUCGCGAGAAGUUAAACUAACGAAAGUAAGUUAGACGGCGUGAGACGUGACCGACGGACGACGACGAGGGAGGAGG